ACCCAAAUAGCUCAGCUGGGAGAGCAUUAGAGAAAGGUCGAAAAGUCCCUGGUUCGAUCUCAGUAUCGGGCA
rnacentral:tRNA from 1 species